rnacentral:rRNA from 1 species
GACGAACGCUGGCGGCGUGCUUAACACAUGCAAGUCGAACGGUGAAGCCCUUCGGGGUGGAUCAGUGGCGAACGGGUGAGUAACACGUGAGCAACCUGCCCCUGACUCUGGGAUAACUACCGGAAACGGUGGCUAAUACCGGAUAUUACUUGCCUGGGCAUCUGGGUGGGUGGAAAGUUUUUCGGUUGGGGAUGGGCUCGCGGCCUAUCGGCUUGUUGGUGGGGUGAUGGCCUACCAAGGCGACGACGGGUAGCCGGCCUGAGAGGGCGACCGGCCACACUGGGACGGAGACACGGCCCAGACUCCUACGGGAGGCAGCAGUGGGGAAUAUUGCGCAAUGGGCGAAAGCCUGACGCAGCGACGCCGCGUGGGGGAUGAAGGCCUUCGGGUUGUAAACCUCUUUCAGCAGGGAAGAAGCGUGAGUGACGGUACCUGCAGAAGAAGCACCGGCUAACUACGUGCCAGCAGCCGCCGUAA